CCUACGGGUGGCAGCAGUGGGGAAUAUUGGGCAAUGGGCGCAAGCCUGACCCAGCAAUGCCGCGUGAGGGAAGAAGGCUCUCGGUUUGUAAACCUCUUUUAGCAGGGACGAAGGAUGUGACGGUACCUGAUGAAUAAGCUCACGCUAACUACGUGCCAGCAGCCGCGGUAAUACGUAGGGAGCAAGCGUUAUCCGGAUUUACUGGGUGUAAAGGGCGCGUAGGCGGGAUGGCAAGUCAGAUGUGAAAUCCAGGGGCUCAACCCCUGAACUGCAUUUGAAACUGUCGUUCUUGAGUACUGGAGAGGUAGACGGAAUGCCUAGUGUAGCGGUGAAAUGCGUAGAUAUUAGGAGGAACACCAGUGGCGAAGGCGGCUAACUGGACAGCAACUGACGCUGAGGCGCGAAAGCGUGGGGAGCAAACAGGAUUAGAUACCCUGGUAGUC
rnacentral:rRNA from 1 species